CGUGCUCGAAUUAGAUACGACGGUUUUCAUUGGCUCAUAAGUUGUGUCACAUGACCAUUCACCCGGCAAGAAAAUUUCAUGAAAUUUGGACCAAAAUUAACGAAACAGUGGCGAUUUCCAUGUUUUUUAUCGAUUUUUCGACAAGUUACAGAUUUUGGAAUUCUUCAAGACUAGAUAGCCGGCUGGUUGCAUGGUGUGUACUGCAGAUAACUUCUCGACUUAAUCCGGCUGAUGUGAUGCUUUAGUUGAUUCGAGAGGCUACAUGUAUAUAGGCCCAGUACGUCGACAUCAUUGAUCCGGCAGUGAACAAGAUAAGUGGUUCAGCCUCCAAGAUGUGUCACCAGAAAUGCAACCGACAUUAUAGACAGGCGUGAUUACUACUCUGAUUUUGGACUGAUGGUAUACUCGUCUUCAAAAUGGACCUGACUAGGAAUGAUGAUGGUGACUUCCCUCCUCAG